rnacentral:rRNA from 1 species
CCUACGGGUGGCAGCAGUGAGGAAUAUUGGUCAAUGGGCGGAAGCCUGAACCAGCCAAGUCGCGUGAGGGAGGAAGGUACAGAGUAUCGUAAACCUCUUUUGUCAGGGAACAAAGGCGGGGACGUGUCCCCGGAUGAGUGUACCUGAAGAAAAAGCAUCGGCUAACUCCGUGCCAGCAGCCGCGGUAAUACGGAGGAUGCGAGCGUUAUCCGGAUUUAUUGGGUUUAAAGGGUGCGCAGGCGGUCUGUUAAGUCAGCGGUCAAAGCCUGGGGCUCAACCCCGGCCCGCCGUUGAAACUGGCAGUCUCGAGUUGGAGAGAAGUAUGCGGAAUGCGCGGUGUAGCGGUGAAAUGCAUAGAUAUCGCGAAGAACUCCGAUUGCGAAGGCAGCAUGCCGGCUCCACACUGACGCUGAGGCACGAAAGCGUGGGUAUCGAACAGGAUUAGAUACCCUAGUAGUC